GGAGAGGUGCCUUAAUGACGUGAAGUCUAAAGGGGAGUUGGAGAGGUGCCUUAAUGACGUGAAGUCUAAAGGGGAGUUGGAGAGGUGCCGUAAUGAUGUGAAGUCUAAAGGGGGAGUUGGAGAGGAGCCUUAAUGACGUGAAGUCUAAAGGGGAGUUGGAGAGGUGCCUUAAUGACGUGAAGUCUAAAGGGGAGUUGGAGAGGAGUCUUAAUGAUGUGAAGUCUAAAGGGGGAUUGGAGAGGAGUCUUAAUGACGUGAAGUCUAAAGGGGAGUUGGAGAGGAGCCUUAAUGACGUGAAGUCUAAAGGGGAGUUGGAGAGGUGCCUUAAUGACGUGAAGUCUAAAGGGGGAUUGGAGAGGUGCCUUAAUGACGUGAAGUCUAAAGGGGAGUUGGAGAGGAGUCUUAAUGAUGUGAAGUCUAAAGGGGGAUUGGAG
ensembl:lncRNA